rnacentral:lncRNA from 1 species
UUUUUUUUUUUUUUUUUAAGACAGAGUCCCUCUGUCACCCAGGCUGGAGUGCAGCAGCACAGUCUUGGCUCCCUGCAACCUCCACCUCCUGGGUUCAAGCGAUUCUCCUGCUUCAGCCUCUCGAGUAGCUGGGAUUACAGGCAUGCACCACCACGCCCAGCUAGUUUUUGUAUUUUUGGUAGAGAUGGAGAUUCACCAUGAUGGCCAUGCUGGUCUCGAACUCCUGACUUCGUGAUCUGCCCGUCUUGGCCUCCCAAAGUGCUGGGAUUACAGGCGUGAGCCACUGCUCCUGGCCAACAUGUGUUUAUCUCUACACUCUCCUCAAAUCGCAUUAAAAUGAUAGUAAAGACAAAAAAAGGAACACACCUGCAGAGACAACAAGGUCAGGAGAAGAAGCUGUGGAAUAGGAGAAAGCUUAGCAACAUUUUGAAGGGAGAACAAUGAAUGGACUAAUGGCCUCUGGCUUAGCAUGCUGGAGAGAGAUGAGCCCUGCCAGCUGGAGUGAAGUGGAGGGGGUGAGCCCUCAAGAAACAAGAUGAGUCCUGCUCCAGAAUCACAAAAAUGCUCAGAAAUCAGGGGCUCCAUAUCUAUCUAUCUGUCUGUCUAUCUAUCUAUCUAUCUAUCUAUCUAUCUAUCUAUCUAUCUAUAUAUCUUUUUUUUUUUUUGACACAAGGUCUCACUUUGUCACCCAGGCUGGAGUGCUGUGGCAUGACCUCGGCUCACUGCAGCCUUGACCACCCAGGUUCAAGUGACCCUUAUUCCUCAGCCCCCCAAGUAGCUGGGUCUACAAGAGCACACCACCACACUCAGCUAAUUUUUUUUUUUUUUUUGUAUUUGUAGUAGAGACAGGGUUUCACCAUGUUACUCAGGUUAGUCUUAAACUCUUGAGCUCAAGCGAUCCGCCCGCCUCAGCCUCCCGAAAUGCUAGGAUUACAGGCAUGAGCCCCGGCACCCAGCCAGUUCCAGGUAUUUCUGAAUGUGAGAGUAUACCAGCAAGCUGUGGAGGAGGAUUGGUUGGAAGACUGUGCAGGAGAAGGCAGACCCUCAGGCUCCUCCUGGGUGCACUGGCGUUGCUCAUGCUGCUCACCUGCUCGAAUGUCUGCUGCUUGCCCUGCCCUUCAGAAUACUGGAUUUUUCCUCUCUGACCAGGUGAACCAGAGAGGCUCAGGGCACUGGAUCCAGCUGAGGGCAGCAGAAUGAAAAGCAUGCUCACUGAACAGGGAGAUAACCCCACACCAUCCAAUGGCGUUGAAAAGUAUGGUGUAGUCUUGGAGGGACCAAUGUUCCUGAACUUUCAGGGUGUCACCUGAACCCAAAAUGGAAUUCUAGUUUGAUACCUCUCAAAACUAGUGAGCUGCUGCUCUUCUCACAUGUAUCUCCAUAUGUGGACGUGCACCAGAGCCUUUUUCUACCCUCUGAAGGAGAGAAGUGUUCUGUUUAGGGGCUUGCAGAAGAGAGGAACAUAAGAAGGCUGAGGAGAGUGGAGGACCCAACAGAGAACUACCAUCUCUAGUCUCCCAGGCUGGGUUGAGCCUCGGCAGAAAAGCGUUGACCUCAGCACGGGCAGUGUGCCUUCAAGGCCUCAUUGUGUUGUUAGUCAAGGAACUUACUGCCCUUCCCUGAGGGAGGUUUGUACUUCCUCAUGCCAUUGACAAUGGACUUGGCCACGUUACUUUCUUGGACAAUGAAAUGUGAGAGGAAGUGAUGU